UCUCCGCUGGUGAACCAGCGGAGGGAUCAUUACAGAGUUGCAAAGCUCCCAAACCAUUGUGAACGUUACCUAUCCCGUUGCUUCGGCGGGCGGCCCGGGCCCCGCGCACGGCGCCCACCGGCCCCCCGUGGGCGCCCGCCGGAGGUAAACCAAACCCUUGAAUUGCAUGGCCUCUCUGAGUCUUCUGUACUGAAUAAGUCAAAACUUUCAACAACGGAUCUCUUGGUUCUG
rnacentral:misc_RNA from 1 species